UGUGCUGCUCUUUGAAGGUAUUUUGUUUGACUUGAUGGAUUUCAUUUGCUGUAUUUAACCCAAGCUAUAGUGUUAUCCAGUUAUUAGUUUACAUUUUUAUUUUGUUCUAAGUGCAAACUGUGUCAUACUCCGACCAGAGACUCUUUAAGCAGAGUCUUUGCGUAUAUGAACUAAAUAAUAAGAGACUCUGAAGGUUUUUCCUUCAUGGCAUUUGGUCUCUCUCUUAGCAUUAGCUUCUUAAAUUUUCUCUUCAUAUUAGCUAUCUGCUUAGCUGCAUGGUAAAAUAACUAUUUGCAAAUCAACCAUUUAUGUGUUGCUAAUAAUGAACUGUUAAUACUUUCCAUUACUGUUAAUACUUUCCAUUCUUAUAAUGUUUUAUUUAUUUUCUAUUUAUUUAUUUAUUUUCCUUUGAUUCAUUUCAUCUAGUAACUCG
rnacentral:misc_RNA from 1 species